UCGAACCUGCUUCUUUCGCAGCCCAUGAGGCCGUGCGGCUCCUGCUCGACUCAAACCAGCCCCCGGGCCCAGGCUCAUACCUCCCCACCGGCGCCACCGCGUCCGCUUGUCCUCCUUCAUCCUCAAUCCCCUACCGCCGCCAUUGACUCUCCCGUUCACCGCCGUCGUUACCUUCGCCCACCUUGGUUCCAGCCUUCCGGGCCCCACACGCCUCUGCGACAAGCCGGCUCCUCGGGCGUCCAGCCACCGGAUGCAGGUCAGGUCCUCCAUGGUUUCCGCAGAUCCGCAGUCGCAUCGGGAUGGGCCAUGACGGUGCUGAUGAUUGAUGAACGUUAGGAGCAGACCGAUGGUGUUCAGGUACCCGUUGGUCAGGGAGUCAGGAAGCUAUGUUAUCCGAAGAAAGGUGUACAUCACCAAUAUGGCUCAGUUUGUUGCAGCUAUGGAGAUACUGUACAUGGUAGCAGUGACAGUAUCAGGAAGCGAUCAAGUGCAAGGGUAUCCUCUGCCCAGUCAAAACUAGACAGGGCUUAGGCCUGAAAUUCUAUAAAAAAAUCUUAUGCGUAUGGUUGUAUAGGAAUGUAGUUUCAUGACUGUAGCGUUUCGUUGUAAUCUGAGAGCUUGUAGUAGUAAAUUCAGGCCCAAUUGUAAUACGCACAAUGUGCUUUCUUAUUUGAAAUAUAUAUGGUUCUCCUGAAUA